rnacentral:rRNA from 1 species
AGAGAGUUAAACAGUACGUGAAAUUGUUGAAGGGAAACGCUUGAAGUCAGUCGUCCGCCGAGACUCAGCCUUCUUCUGGCUUGGUGUACUUCUCGGUGGACGGGCCAGCAUCAAUUUUGACCGCCGGACAAGGGCGGGGGGAAGGUGGCACUUCGGGUGUUUAUAGCCCCUCGUCGCAUACGGCGGUCGGGAUUGAGGAACUCAGCA